rnacentral:rRNA from 1 species
UUCCAGGCAAAUCCGGAAAAUCAAGGCUGAGGCGUGAUGACGAGGCACUACGGUGCUGAAGCAACAAAUGCCCUGCUUCCAGGAAAAGCCUCUAAGCAUCAGGUAACAUCAAAUCGUACCCCAAACCGACACAGGUGGUCAGGUAGAGAAUACCAAGGCGCUUGAGAGAACUCGGGUGAAGGAACUAGGCAAAAUGGUGCCGUAACUUCGGGAGAAGGCACGCUGAUAUGUAGGUGAAGUCCCUCGCGGAUGGAGCUGAAAUCAGUCGAAGAUACCAGCUGGCUGCAACUGUUUAUUAAAAACACAGCACUGUGCAAACACGAAAGUGGACGUAUACGGUGUGACGCCUGCCCGGUGCCGGAAGGUUAAUUGAUGGGGUCAGCGCAAGCGAAGCUCUUGAUCGAAGCCCCGGUAAACGGCGGCCGUAACUAUAACGGUCCUAAGGUAGCGAAAUUCCUUGUCGGGUAAGUUCCGACCUGCACGAAUGGCGUAAUGAUGGCCAGGCUGUCUCCACCCGAGACUCAGUGAAAUUGAACUCGCUGUGAAGAUGCAGUGUACCCGCGGCAAGACGGAAAGACCCCGUGAACCUUUACUAUAGCUUGACACUGAACAUUGAGCCUUGAUGUGUAGGAUAGGUGGGAGGCUUUGAAGUGUGGACGCCAGUCUGCAUGGAGCCGACCUUGAAAUACCACCCUUUAAUGUUUGAUGUUCUAACGUGGACCCGUGAUCCGGGUUGCGGACAGUGUCUGGUGGGUAGUUUGACUGGGGCGGUCUCCUCCUAAAGAGUAACGGAGGAGCACGAAGGUUGGCUAAUCCUGGUCGGACAUCAGGAGGUUAGUGCAAUGGCAUAAGCCAGCUUGACUGCGAGCGUGACGGCGCGAGCAGGUGCGAAAGCAGGUCAUAGUGAUCCGGUGGUUCUGAAUGGAAGGGCCAUCGCUCAACGGAUAAAAGGUACUCCGGGGAUAACAGGCUGAUACCGCCCAAGAGUUCAUAUCGACGGCGGUGUUUGGCACCUCGAUGUCGGCUCAUCACAUCCUGGGGCUGAAGUAGGUCCCAAGGGUAUGGCUGUUCGCCAUUUAAAGUGGUACGCGAGCUGGGUUUAGAACGUCGUGAGACAGUUCGGUCCCUAUCUGCCGUGGGCGCUGGAGAACUGAGGGGGGCUGCUCCUAGUACGAGAGGACCGGAGUGGACGCAUCACUGGUGUUCGGGUUGUCAUGCCAAUGGCACUGCCCGGUAGCUAAAUGCGGAAGAGAUAAGUGCUGAAAGCAUCUAAGCACGAAACUUGCCCCGAGAUGAGUUCUCCCUGACCCUUUAAGGGUCCUGAAGGAACGUUGAAGACGACGACGUUGAUAGGCCGGGUGUGUAAGCGCAGCGAUGCGUUGAGCUAACCGGUACUAAUGAACCGUGAGGCUUAACCUUACAACGCCGAAGGUGUUU